rnacentral:rRNA from 1 species
UGGGGAAUUUUGGACAAUGGGCGAAAGCCUGAUCCAGCAAUGCCGCGUGUGUGAAGAAGGCCUUCGGGUUGUAAAGCACUUUUGUCCGGAAAGAAAUCCUUGGCUCUAAUACAGUCGGGGGAUGACGGUACCGGAAGAAUAAGCACCGGCUAACUACGUGCCAGCAGCCGCGGUAAUACGUAGGGUGCAAGCGUUAAUCGGAAUUACUGGGCGUAAAGCGUGCGCAGGCGGUUUGCUAAGACCGAUGUGAAAUCCCCGGGCUCAACCUGGGAACUGCAUUGGUGACUGGCAGGCUAGAGUAUGGCAGAGGGGGGUAGAAUUCCACGUGUAGCAGUGAAAUACGUAGAGAUGUGGAGGAAUACCGAUGGCGAAGGCAGCCCCCUGGGCCAAUACUGACGCUCAUGCACGAAAGCGUGGGGAGCAAACAGGAUUAGAUACCCUGGUAGUCCACGCCCUAAACGAUGUCAACUAGUUGUUGGGGAUUCAUUUCCUUAGUAACGUAGCUAACGCGUGAAGUUGACCGCCUGGGGAGUACGGUCGCAAGAUUAAAACUUAAAUGAAUUGACGGGGUCAUAGCUGUUUCCU